CUAUAUUAUCAUUAUACAUUUAUACAUAAUUAUUCAUUUUAUAAACAUUUACAUUUUUUUUUUUUUUAUUUUUUUGUUUUAUUACAUUCAACCUGUCUCAACAUUGCUCGUUUGUUGUCGCAUAAUAUUACGUAGGUAAUUAAAAAAAAAAUCCGAAAAGUGUCUGUUCCAUUGUUAAUUGGCAACAUCUCAAAGGUUUUAUUUUGUCAUUUAUUUUUUCGUUCAUAUACCGGUCAACGAUUAUGACGUAGGUAAACAUUUCACAGGCGUAUUGAAGUUCGACGACAAGAAAGGAAGUUUUCUGUCGGCUCUGCCGUACGUUGAAUUGACCGUUAUUCUCCAAUUUAACGGAUUUAUCGUGUACUGGAAAAGACAAAAAAAUUUGCUCACUAAUACACAUGUAAGGACACAUGAACUAUGAUUUACAUUUUAUUUAUUAAUGUUUUCUUUUCACUCGUGCAUAGGUCAGAAAAAUGUUUAACAGUGCUGCAUUUUUUAGUCAAACCGUUUUCAUGUUUUUCACGGCGCAUAAUACGACAAAACACGGAGCUAUAAUUUGUCUGAUAUUAGCGGUCAGUCUAGAAGGAUUCGUUUGGGAUGGAUUUCAGUAACUAUAUUAUUAAUUGUAUUCUGGCCUACGAUAACCGGUAUAUAAUAGGGGAACAUUAGGUAGAACGAGGAAGCUAAGGUAUAAAUAGGUAGCUAUAAUUCACUCAAAAAUUGUGAUUUUGAUUUAAAAUAUGUACUGUGUAGUUAACAAGAUUUGCAGGUCAUUAACACGUUAACAGGUUUUAAAAAUUGAAUAAAGUCUCAUAAAGUUAAAUAUUAAAAUAUGUUUGAGUGUCAUUUGCCCCAUACCUGGGAUAAAAUAUGAGGCCCCAUCAAUACUAUUUUAUUUUAUUUAUUAUGUAUUUCUUUUAAAGUGAUAGACGAAGUGUAAUUAUAGAAUGGUAAUCAAGAUAGAUGAAUAAAAAUAAAAAAAAAAAAAACAAUUAUUUUUUGAAAAUUGUUAUUUUUUGUUUAAAAAUAAUGUAAUGAAACUAGUUAGGAAAGCCCACCACUCCAUUCUGCGAGUUAAAUUUUCGAUUCGCUUUUUUAAAUGGAUCAAAUUUUGGAUUGGCGUCUUGUAAACUCGAUCUUUGAUAACUCCCCACAUGCUGAAAUCACAAGGUGUGAGAUCGGGUGAUCUUGGGGGCCAUUCCGACGUUCCACGGCGACCAAUUCAGUCGUUGAAGUUUUUAUUCAAAAAAAUCACGAACGAUAACGAACAUGAAACUGCGUCUAAUAGGUUAUGUUGUUUUUUAUAAACCUUCCUGUUGUUGUACGUAAACAAGAUAACGAGACCAAAGUUGCAAUAUGACGUAACGGAAACGACGUGGAGGGAGAAACUGCGCCGUAAUGCGCGUCCCAUACAAGACGGUAGGCGUUUCGCGACUUUUGGCCACCUCUGUAUAAUGUCAAAGUGGUCCAUAUCUUUCUUCAUCAUUAAUAUUUUGAUUUUAUAAUUUUACAAUAAAUAAAUAGCUUUUGUAAUCAAAAAUUAUUUUGCAUAUUUUGUGCAUUUUAAGUGCAUAUUUGAAACUUUUUAAAUGUAUAUUUUUAAAUUUUUAAUACAUAUAAAUCCGGUCUUUACCAAUAACCACACUAUUAUUAUCGAUCAAAUGUUCACUGUUAGUAGUGUUUUGACUUUUUUUGCGUUACGUUCGGAUUUUCUAUAAUAUGUGAAUUAUUAUUUUCUGAAACAUAUAAGGGUAAAUCACGUCUCAUGUAUAAUCAUUAUUAGUAAUAUAUAAUUCGUAAAGAAACAGAAAGUACAAGUUGGCGUUGUCUUAAUGACAAAACUUUCAGGAUUUAUUUUUACGAAGGAUGUACAAUUUUAGAACUCAUAUGAUUACAAAAAGUGUUUAGACAAAGCAUUUUUUGAACAAAUAAGUACUUUAUGGAAAAUUAUAUUAUUACAUGAAAUUUAAUAAGUUCUAUAUUAUGCAAGUUAUUAUAUAAUAUACAGUGUCCUAAAAUGUUUUUUAAAUGUUAAAGAAUCAGUGAAUAUUUAUUAUUUUUUUUUUCAAUCGGGUUUUGUGUUAAAGGGACAGAUAUAUAGAGAGAAAAAUCGAACUAUCUGUGUUUUAUAACCACAGAAAAAAAUAACUAUUUUUUAAAAUUGUCAUAAUAGCCGUAAUAGAAUUUAUUCUACAAUUUGUAUUGUAGGUCUCUACCUACCAAACAUAAUAUACGCAUUCAUAUUGGAUCAACAAUUUUUUAGUAAUAGCCAUUUUAAUUUAUAAUAUUUUCAAUGUCUGACAGAAUACAUAAUUUGUAAUAGGUACAGAGGAAAAUAAAAUAAAAACCCGUUUAUUAUGAUAAGUAGAUAAUAGUUAUCAGUUGACAGUUUUAUUAUCUGGAUUACGAUAGUAAAUUUUGCAUUCUUUGCGUUUUUUCCAUUGAUUUUCCUAAAUUAUUAAAAAGAAAGGUCGGGCAUACUUCGCAGGUGUUUGCAGCCACUGUUAUAGGUGGGAAGUUGAGAAGGUAAGCUACAGACGAAAAUUUAAUGUAUAUCUGUAAACAAAGAUAAACCAUUGCUAACGAAAAAACGAUUCUGAGCAGAGUUCAGUCGAUAAUGUUGCUUUCUCAACAAUACAAUAUGUGGUAUUAUGGUAAAAUUAUUACAACAAUAUGCGUUUCCGUGACAAAAUGAUCGAUUGAAAAAAAUUAAAAUAAUAAAAUCUUAAUAAUAACAAAAAAUAAAGAAAAACGGUUGCUAACCUUAUUUUUAAUCUUUCAAUAUUUUUUAACCUAAAGACCGAGGUUUUCAUCAUUAUCUCGAAUAUUAAUAAGAAUUUCAAAAAAUGACCUCUCUAAAUUACUAUCCACAGAAAAUGUCCUUUCAGAAGAGAUGCUAUAGAGAUGCUUACUUGAUAAUCGGAGUAUGCUGUCUAGUAGAAAAAGUGUUCAUAUAAAAAAAAAAAAUAAACAUUAUUGUAAAACCAAGACAUUCCUCGUUCCACUCAGAAUCUAAAAUACAGGAAAAAUCAAAAAACUACUUCUUACUCGCCAACUAGG
rnacentral:lncRNA from 1 species